rnacentral:rRNA from 1 species
AUACGUAGGUGGCAAGCGUUGUCCGGAUUUAGUUGGGCGUAAAGCGAGCGCAGGCGGUUUUUUUAAGUCUGAUGUGAAAGCCUUCGGCUCAACCGAAGAAGUGCAUCGGAAACUGGGAAACUUGAGUGCAGAAGAGGACAGUGGAACUCCAUGUGUAGCGGUGAAAUGCGUAGAUAUAUGGAAGAACACCAGUGGCGAAGGCGGCUGUCUGGUCUGUAACUGACGCUGAGGCUCGAAAGCAUGGGUAGC